GACAACUUGAUUCGUGGGGGGUGCAUUUUGCAGGUGAUAUGGAAAGCUAGUGCAGUGGAAGCUUCCUGGAAUGUGGAGAUUAUUCUAAUGAAGAUUAGGGUAUGUAUAUGUAGUAGUAAUGGGUUGGCUGUAUAGAAUCUUAACUAGCUGGCCAUCUCUUGUUACCAAAUGCAGCUUCCAGUGGUGGAAUGGGGUUACAUUCAAAUGAGUUGUUAGCCAAAAGAAUCCCAUAAAGAUUUCCAAAUGGCCCAGGCUGUUGCUAAGAAACAGGGUUGCUCUCUGCAAAUUGACUGAGGGGCCUCACUGCCCCAGGACAAUGCCUGCACAACUCAUUGAAUAUGGAGAAGUUAAACUGGUGCCUACAGUUCAGUCUCUUUGCUGUGGGAAGGUACCUGGCAGAUAUUCUUACUGGUUGUGUGUCAAUCUGACACACCAGCUAGAGUCAAAAGAGAGGAAGGAGUCUCUGUUGAGGAAAUGCCUCCAUGAUUCCCAGCUGUAAGGCAUUUUCUCAUUAGUGAUCAAUGGAGGGGACCCAGCCCAUUAUGGGGGGUGCCAUCGGGCUAAUAGUCUUGGGUUCUAUAAGAAAGCAGACUGAGCAAGCCAUGGAAAGCAAGCCAGUAAGAAGUACCCCUCCAUGGCCUCUGCAGCAGCUCCUGCUUCUAGAUUUCUGCCCAAUUGGAGUUCCUGUCCUGACUUCCUUUGGUGAUGAACAGCAAUAUGGAAGUGUAAGCUGAAUAAACCCUUUCCUCCCCAACUGCUUUUGGUCAGUGUUUCAGCACAGCAAUAAAAAUCUUAACUGAGAUAGAAGGGCAUUGAAAGAGGAACACAGACACCAACUCAGCCACAAAAUGUUGACCUGUAAUCUGUCCUGACUGAAAAAUAUGUUAAGGCAAUUGUGACACAGACUGUCUGGGAGUAACCAACCAAUAUUUGAUUUGGCUUAUGGCCCACUCCAUGAGACAGAACCAUGCCAGACACUGCUUGAGUGAUCAAGAAGCUGAGACUAGAUAUCCCCGAUGAAAUGACUCCUAAUGAUAUUCUGCCAUAGUCAUCAUCAGAGAGGCUUCCCCCGACAGUAGAUGGAAACAGAUGCAGAGAUCCACCAUAGUCAGAAGUAAUUCCGAGAGAAAGUGUUAAUGGGAGAGUUCCAUCAGAUAGAGCUGGACAAACUCCUGAGUGAGGUAACCGAGACCUAGAAGGUGAAUAUGGUAUCCAGUGGAAGAGGAGGUGGAAACCUUGAAAGAGUCAGAGAAGGUAGAGGACUUUAGGACAACUAAGCAAGGCACAUGAGCUCACAGAGACUGCAGCAGCAAGCAGUGGCCUACACGGGUCUGCACCAGGUCCUUCCUUAUCUACUACAGCUAUUAACAGUAUUUUUAUGGGAUUACUGACUGUGAGAAUGAAUGGGCCUCUGACUCUGUGCCUGCCCUCAGGACUCUUCUGUUGGGUUGCCUCGUCCAACUUCAAUAUUAUAGUUUUUGCUUCACCUUACAUUUUAUUUGGGCAUGUUUGAUUGUUAUCCCUCAGAAUCCUGUUCUGUGUGGACACUGUCCUCGGCAAUGGGACCAUCCCACUGUCAGUGUGCAGAGAAUGACCCUGAGUCUAAACCACCAAAAGGGAGUGGAUCUGAAAGAGAGGGCAGUUGGGGAGGAGGAAUAGAAGGAGGGGGAACUAUAAUUAGGAUAUAUUGUAUGAGAAAAGUAUCUAUUUUUCAGCAAAAAGAAUUAAAGGGCUACAAAAAAGGUGGGUUUUUUUAAUUAACAAGAUUUAUUUCCAAUUAAUUUUGUGCUCCUUCCCUAACACCAAAUUCAUGUUGAAACAUUCUUCUCAAUAUGACAGUGGUAGGAACUGAGGCUUUUGAUAAGCAGCUAGGUCAUGAGAGCAGAGCUUUCUCACUGCCCGUGUGCCUUCUUAGGUAAGUAUGUAACCUGGAUGAUCCUUACCCUGGCGUUGGGCUUCAGUCUACAAAGCCUUCAGAACUGUUCUGUCCGCUCACAAAGACAGAUCAUCUAAGCAGGGCCUUAGUGAUCAAAAGCGGAGAAAUACUGAAUGAAAACCAGAUCCAACAUGUUUGCUGUGCUGCAGGGUCCCUCGGAGCCUGGGUAGGACUCAAGUGCUGCGUUGUUUCUGACAAGAAGAGAGAGCUCAAGGGAGAGCGAACUAGGAGCAGUUCCUGUCAUCACCUGAUAACAAAAGCAGACACUUCCUGCAAUGCCUCCGUGGGAAAUCGGAGGCCGGAAGUCACAUCUGGCCACAGAUGAAGAUGUAGAACUCUCAGCUCCUCCUGCACCAUGCCUGCCGGGAUGCUGCCAUGCUCCAGCCUUGAUGAUAAUGAACUGAACCUUUGAACCUGUAAGCCAGCCCCAAUUAAAUGUUGUCCUUUAUAAAACUUACAUUGGUCAUGGUGUCUGUUCACAGCAAUAAAACCCUAACUAAGACAUAUGUAUAUAUGUAUAUGUGUAUGUAUGUAUAUGUGUGUAUGUGUAUGUGUAUAUGUGUAUGUGUGUAUAUGUGAUAUAUGUAUAUGUGUAUAUGUAUAUAUGUAUAUAUAAAAUAUACAUUUGUAUUUCUUCUUUACAUAUAAGUGCAUAUAAGCAUGCAUAUAUCUAUUUAAAUUACAUUCCACGCACAAAAGAAAAUUCAUUAUUUUUCUUACAUUUACUACUGUGUUUUGUCUUUAGAAAACUGCUCAACUUAUUUGCCCAUUUAUUGAUUGAAUGAUUUGGUGUUUGGGGUAUUUAAUUUCUUCAGUAAUUUAUGGGUUGGAUAUAGUGAUUUCAGUAUAGAGAUAUUUUAUCUUUAGAUUUAUUGCUAGGCUUUAUUUAAUUUUCAAAGGGAUUUUUCCCCCAUCUGAUUUCUUUCUAAAGUGUUUGUUACUGAUAUAUGGAACAUAGGCUAUCAGUAAAUCUUCGUGGAAGUGUAUUCCCUAGAUCUCAAGUUGGGGCAGAAGGAUGUUUUAAAUUGUGAUUUGUAAAGUUACUUACUCCUUAUGAGAGUUAUCUUUACGAAAUAAUAAGAAAAUAUCAAUCAUUGAUGUCGCCACAAGACUCCCCCACUCUGUCCACACUGCAGAUCCAACCACAGGGCCAUUCUCCGUACAUCUUUCCACUGCUUGUAGACAGAAGAACACUUCACAUCUCCUCUGUGAACCAGGCUGUUCCACACUUUUUAAAAUUAUUUAUCUUAUGUAUCUGAGUACAGUGUCGCUGUCUUCAGACACACCAGAAGGGGGCAUUGGGCAUUGGAUCACAUUUCAGAUGGUUGUGAGUCACCAUGUGGUUGCUGGGAAUUGAACUCAGGACCUCUGGAAGAGCAAUUGGUGCUCUCAACCGCUGAGCCAUCUCCCCAGUCCAUGUUCUUUUUAAAGAUUUUUUUUAUUCAUAUAAAUGGGUGAAAUUGUAAGAUUCCCCUCCCCCUUAAAGCAGUGGUUUUCACACCUGAAAAUUAUGCCCAACAAUGGAGAGUGUGAGCCUGUCUCUAAUUCAGAGGCUCUCCUUGGUGACCCGACAUUCAAAUCUCCCGUGCCCUUGGUAACUGGCAAAUUGUUAAGGAUGGUGGCCUCCAUCUACUUCUAGGUUCAAGGUUUUUAUUCUCCUCUCUCUCUCUCUCUCUCUCUCUCUCUCUCUCUCUCUCUCUCUCUCUCUCUGUGUGUGUGUGUGUGUGUACCAAUUAUUAUAAAUACAGUGGGGGAGUAUGGUGUGGGAGAUUUCCAUAUUUGGACUGCAUUAGUCUGGAUUGCUUUUUUAAAGUACAGUUCAGUUGGUUUAAUGACGACCUUUCUCCAAGUAGGUCUGUACACGUGUGUUUAUCUCCAUUCCACAGCAAAGUCCAGACUCCAGACCCUUAAAAUUUCUACCCCAUGGGAAAGUUUUCAUUUUCCUUGCUCUUCAAAUGUCUGUUCAAUUAUUUCCUUAAGUCUUUAACUUUUUUUCCUCUCACUUGGGGAGGCUGCCGAGUCUGGCAGCUGAGUGCCUGUGUGUUCCUAAGUGCUCUGAGGUUCAACAGGGAACUUCUACCAAAACAAUUUAUCCUACACAUUUUUUUUUUACCGAAGCAUGAGUAUCUUAGCCAGCAGGGAGCUGGUGAGCCAUGAACCAUUCUGCUGUAGAGAUGACCACCCUGACGAAGACUUGCAGUUCAUUAGCUCUUGAAAGCCAAUAGGAGCCAGCUUCAGUCCCUAGUGAAGCGAGCCUUCUAGGCCACUGUUUCCAACAUUUGAAUGAGAAUCUUUAUCACUAAUGAAAAAGCACAGAGGUUCAUUCAGAAUCUCUUGGCCUGGGGGCCCAUUAUAACACUGUAUUUGUUACCUUUUGUUGUGGUGAUAAAUAUGGCUACCAAGAGCGACUUAUAGAAGAAACAGUUUUAUUUCCACUUUGGUUGUGGUAGGGUUAGACGGUCAUGGCAGUGGGUGACUAGAGCAGGAUGCUGAGAGGUCACAUUUCAACUGCAACAGAGUAGAGUAGAAGUUGGGAGAGGGCUCAGCUCCUCAAAUCCCUCCUUCAGAUAUUUGUUUCCUCCAGCAAGGCGCCAACACUUAAAACUCCUCAGACCACAAUGCCCGCUGAACAUCAGAGUUCAAAUGCUUGCACCUGUGGGGAGAGACGCCUAUGGGUUUCUUAUUAAAACCACCACAGGUGUAUAUCUACAUGUUUAACAGUUUCCCAGGUUGUUCCGUGUUGUCAUUCCUUGUAGGCUCCACCCAACAAUUACCUGGCAAUAGUCAGGUAGGCCUGGCUUGCUAUGAAAGAGAGACUGUUUGGCUCCUUUUCGCUCUCCUGCCCCUUUUCUCUCUCUGCCCCCUCCCCCCUCUCUCCACAUGUUCUGGCCAGCCUCCUUUCUCUCUGUCUCUGUCUCUGUCUCUGUCUCUCUGUCUCUCUGUCUCUCUGUCUCUCUCUCUCUCUCUCUCUCUCUCUCUCUCUCUCUCUCUCUCUCUCUCUCUCUCUCUCCUCUUCUCUGUCCCCUUUCUUUCUUUGCCUCUAUUCCCUUCUCAACUCCCUUUCCCAUGUCCCAAGCAAACUCCGUUCUAUACUACACCUGUCGUAUGACUGGUACCUGAGAGGGAAGGGAUGUCUCAGCAUGGGCCCACUGAGGUGCCCCCUCCCACCUCACCAUACUGAACUCUAUAAAGCAUGUCCAUGGCUUUUUUAAAAACACAACAUUUGGCACUGAGACUUGGAUUUAGAAACUCACAGGUUCAUUUCUUCUGCCACCACAUGGACUUUCCUGCCAUUGGAUCACUAGAACUCCAUCCGAACACUGGCAAAUUGGUAAACUUCCUCUACCACUGGUCAGCAUAAAUGACCCCAGUCUCGAGGAAGGGCUGCUGAGUUCUCAACCACCCUCUGGUGUCCUAGAGGAUGGAAGUCUUCACAGUUACGACUGGCCUUUUUGCUGACCCUUUAUUCUAGGACAUCUUCCCUUAAGUGAGGCCUUUCUCUUUUCCUCGAGACAGUUUCUUUCUUGUUGCUGGGAAAUCCUAGACCUAGAUAAACCAUUCUCCCUCCUCCUCUCGGACACUGGCCCAGAGCUCAGCCCCCACUUCAUUAAAUGACAACCUGGUGAUAUGACUUGGCUGUCUGUUUCUUGUUAUUAAUUUAUCCUCCAGAUACCAAUAGGGAUAAUAUUAAUAACUUCUAUUCUCACCCAAAAAGAAAAUGUCUUUGCCACUACUUCUACGCUCCCUACUGUGAUGUCUUAAAGGCUUCUGAAUUCACAUGCUAAAUUUGGCCCUAAUGCCCACUAGGUAGUAACUCUGAAUGGCCACUUAAUGGAGUGUAAUGGUUUGUAUAAGCCUGGCCCAGAGAGUGACACUAUUUGGAGAUGUGGCUUUGUUGGAGCAGGUAUAGCCUUCUCAGAGUAGGUGUGCCAUGUGGGCGUGGGCUUUAACACCCUGCUUCUAGCUGUCUGCAACUGAGUCUUCCACUAGCAGCCUUCAGAUGAAGACACAGAACUCACCUCUGCCUGCACCAUGCCUGCCUGGAUGCUGCCAUGCUCCUGCCUUGAUGAUACUGGACUGAACCUCUGAACCAGUAAGCCAGCACAAAUUAAAUGCUGUCCUUAUAAGAGUUGUGUUGGUCAUGGUGUCUGUCCACAGCAGUAAAACCCUAAGACAUGAAGCUUAAAAAAAAACAAAAAACUUUUUACGACUUGCACCCAGCAAUCUGAAAAAUAGAAAGAUUUUUAUGUAGGCUUUCUCCCACCUUUUCCCCCAACCGCUUUAUUCCUCUGCUCCCUGCUCCUGACUCCCUGUCUUUUUGCCUUUUAACAGUGCUCUCCAGAUCUUGUUUCCGACUAAACAUGCUCGGCCUCCAUGCUCCUGUGCGCCGCCCACCUGUGCAGGUGCCAACUGUUUGCUCCAGCAGGCAGUCGUGAGUUUCUAUUUCUGGGAAACUUUUAUCUCUAAUCUAUGAUUCCCUUCCACUCUGGUCUGCCAGCUCUAAGCCAGGUGCGGCAGGAGAAGGGAUCCCUAAGCGCAGCACAGACAGAGCACCUGAGGCGCUCUGUGUACAGCUUAGACCCAGUGCUCCAUGCACAGUGACAGAGGCUGCCUGAGGUGCCAGGGAAAGACCUCCUUCCUGUCUAACAGACAAAACAUGUCUACUCGUCUCGGCUGAUGCAUAACAACACUUCUGCUGUUCCAUUCUAAGGUAUAACGUGAUUUCCUCCAUAUGUGAUGCGAUCACUUCAGCGCCAUCUUUGGUAAGGGCGGUCCCUUGGCUGGCUGUAGCUUCAGCACCAUCUUGGUUGAAGGCAGUCUCAAGGCUAUCUGCCAUCUUAAUUGUGGCAGUUCCCACUUCACUGCCUUCUUACUUUAGAACAGCCUGACUUAAGUUCUCUAAAGACACUUUUAAGGUAUGGUUUUCAUAUGAUUUCUAUCCUGCCUUGGUAAACAAUUUUAAUAUUAAAGAUUUACAAUGAUUAAAAAGGUUAAAAACACUGCCUUAAACAUAUGUUUGGCCUUGUUUUUGCUACUGUGUUUAUGUUGCAAUGUACUCUUUUUAUUUGCUAGAUAAAUUCUAGAACAAAUAAUUAAACAAAUGCAUAUUGUCUAACUCAGAUAUACUUAAUGGAUGUCAAUCUUGUUAGAAGUCUGCUAAAUGUAAUGUUAAAUGUUUUAGCUUAUGACUGAUGGAGACCCCAAAUCCUAACCCUGACCCAUGCAAGGUCUCUGAGAAGAUAUGGGCAUAGUGACAAGAUUCUUCCUGAAUUGUGGUGUGAUAACCACUGAGAAACACUGCUCCAUUGCCUUGCCUGCUGCCAGGGCUUGUCCUACAAUGUGGACAAACAGAGGAUACAGAGAGUUAAAUGUCUCAGAUUGCCUAAGACAAGGUAAGUCGUUCCUCCCAAGUUCUUAACUCCACAGGAAAAAAAGCCUCUCAUCUCCUGGGCCUGAGAGCCAGACUAACUCUGACCAAGUUACAGUGGAGAUCACAGGGCCCUGGGAGAACUGUUUUAAGUAGUGGACUAUAGACCAACCCCCGUCAUAUUAAUUGAUAUAUGGUAUCUAGAUAAUUUAUUCUUCACAGUUUUCUGAUUACAUUGACAGCUAAGCUAACUUAACUGAUAGCUUGACAGCUCAAAAACAGACCUAGCUCCUUACCCCAAGGUAACCCACCAUCAUAUUAGCUCAUCGAUCAAUUUGUUAACGAGUCAAGACCUUCAGAUCUCUUCUCAGAGACAGACAGGUUCGCCUUGCUCACAGGCUUCACGAUAAAGAAUUGUACUAGUUCAAAUGUAACCUUUCACAGAUGUAACCUGCUACCUCCCUAUCUGAACUCAGUCUCCAGUGGCUAAAUGCUUGUUGUGCCGAAGUCCUAACAUUAACUAAAAUAGUUCUUAUAAAUUAAUUUAGCUCUAUAAAACAUUCCACUGAAAGAUCCAACUUUGAUAAUCACAAGUUCAAAUUAUAAGCUUCCCUCAAUUGUUUCCUAACUCUAGACUCAAAGUGUUUCUCCUGCUAAAUCUAUACUCUUGGCUCUCAUAGUUACAAAUAUAAGUUCCCUUUGGUUGCCUUUUAAGACUUAAGGUGUUUUUCAUGCUAAACUAUAUGAUCAACUAUCAUAUUCACAAGGUUGAUUUUUCUAGAGUCCUUUGUCUUUUAAAUAUAAGCUUAAAAUACUUCUCAUUGUGAUAUAUAUAUAUAUACAUAUAUAUACAUAUAUAUAUAUAUAUUUAUAGUCAGUAUCCUAGAUAGAAGGAAAAGCCCUUUUUGCUUCUUCUACUCCACAAAAUGUCUUUGUCUUCCUAAGCUCACCUUAAAGACUGUUCAUGUUGUUAACAAAUUUAUCUCUUUUGUGAAUUUAUAAGCUACAGGAAAUCUACUCCAAUCUACUUCUCAUGGACCAAACAGACUCCAUCUGGAUCAGUACACUUGUCAAUAGCCUAAGCUUUUACUUGAUGCCUAUUCCAGAGGGUGGGAUUCCUCUCCUCUCCUGUUCCUGGGAUUGGGACCCACCUAACCCCAACCAUCAAGUCCUAAGGGUUUCAAAGGUACAUACGGAAAAGGUUUUCUCUCAAACCUACUUAACUUUAUUUUCAACCUCCAAUGUGUGUGUGUGAGUGUGAGUGUGAGUGUGUGCGCGUGCGUAUGUGUAUGUAUGUGUGUGUGCUUGUGUGUGUGUGUAUGUGUAUGUGUGUGUAUGUGUGUUUCAGCAUCUUGCCAAGUCAAGGCAUUUAUUUAACAGCUACAUCCAGGAGGACACCAGCAAAGCAGCCCACAGAUGCUCCAAUCUUCUCUCACAGACACAGAUGCUACUACUGGACCUGCUCUUUCCAACCCACAGAUGGUUCUACAGACCCUGGACAGCAAGAAAACAGCCAACUUUCAUAAGACUAAACCAACAUCCCCAUCCCCAUCCCCAUUUUCCUAGGUUUCCCAGAGACACGUCGCCCCAAAGUCAGCAAGUAACUAAAGAUCAUGAUGACACUGUUUCUGCUUCACCACCUCUUUCUAGUUUCUCCUUUUUAAAAAUUAAACCAAAAUGGAGGAAUGUUGGCUUUCCUUUUAUACUCUGCCCAAUAGUUACCUAGCAACAGCCAGGUAGGCUUCUUAUAAGAGUGACUAUUUGGCCUCUCUCUCCCUCCCCCCCCCCUCUCUCUCUGGCUCUCUCUGGCUCUCUCUCUCUCUGGUUCUCUCUCUCUCUUUCUGACCCCUUCCCCUUCUGUCCCCUUCCCCCUCCCCCCAUGUGUUCCUGGCCAGCCUUUUUUCUUCUCUACCCUCCCCCCUCUCUCCCCAGCCCCCUCUUUCUACCUCUAUUCCCUUCUAAACUCCCCUUCCCAUGUCCCCACUCUAUACUAUACUCAUCAUACGGCUGGUACCUCAGGGAUUAGGGAUGUCUCUGCACAAGCCUGCUGAGGUACCCCCCUCCCACAUCACCAUGCCAUGCUCUGUAGAACAUAUCCUUGGCUAUUUUAAAAACACAGAAUCCUGAUACUGUAGUUGGAACCCUCCCUCCUACAUUCACUUCUGCGCAAGUCCAUGCCACAUAUGUAGCAUGUCUAUUGCAGAUGAAAGACCCAAAAUACUUUUUAGCACUAGCAAACCCACUAAGCUGUCAUUAGAGUAAAUUUACUAAGAUGUAAUUAAAAUAGAUCCUAAUGUUCAAGAUGAAUAAUGAUCGUCGGAUUCGUGUUCUUAUAAGGAUCUAUAGUUAGCUCAUUACUUUUCAUUUUCCCGAAUGUAAAGUGUGCUACAGAAAGCCAAGAUUCAUAUAUUUUAGAAAUUAGAUAAAAUCUUCAUGUGGCACAGGGCUCCUCUUAGCAUUUCAACAAUAUUUACAUCGUGUUUUUCUACUACAGAAAUGUGCUAGCCAGCUUUCUCUGUUUACCCCAGCUUCCUGCAACAGGGCUGUGCCAUACAUUCACAGAGCACAGAGUGAGUGUAAUGGUUCGUUUGUGAACAAAAUAAAAAAACAAAACAAAAAAAAAAAUCAAGUCUAUAAAGUUUCUCUGAAAAUGGGUGAUUUUCAAGAAAGGGUUUUGUGUGAUUAGUUUGUUCCUCUGGUGAUGAAUGGACUCCACUGGGAAUGUUCUCACUGCUUAGGAUCUGGAGUCGUUUUAUUUUCUGAAGCUAUAUUCACCCCACCAAUAUCCACUCAGAAGUGCCCCCCCGCGGCAGUUUGUAAUUUAAUGGUGGUUUAAUAAUUAUCCCAUCAGCAAUCACACAGGAGCAUGUAAGUGUUUGAAACUGAGGCUAGUAUUGUUUUGAUGGCUGAGCGCUGCUUCGGCUUCCUGGAUGUGAGGCAGCAGAGGCAGCAGGUAAUCUGCACGCUGGUGACUAAUGUUGCGAGACACCAUAAAGGUUUCCCUGGUGGAUCAGAACACCUUUACAACGGAGGUGUCAUGGGAGCUGAGACAUAGAAAAAUAACCAAGACUCAAGGAGAAGAGCAGCCAGGGCCUUUUCAGGCCAAGGAGGGCAGUCUCCAGGCUUCAAAACAGUGAUUUAGACGCUGUCUAAACGGUAACGAGGCUGCACUUGUCUGCUACAGAAGGCUGGCGAAUAGCAUAGACCCUGCACAUAGCGUUAGAGAUGGGAAAGGCGAACAGCACACCAAAUCUGCUACUCACUCCUGAGGUGGUUCUAGAUAUUGAGACAGGUGAGAUCAGUGCAGACUGGGUGUUUACAGAAGUCUCUCUGGUUAAAGGCUCUCUGGCAAGCAAACCCAAUGUGAGAGACAGACGGGCAUGCGCAGAAUAGAGAAGAUGGGAAUGUGUGGAUGGUGCCAGGAAUGAGCCUUGGGAGGUAAAGUCAGUGUCCUGGCUCAGCUCUGAAUGGUCAAGCAUUUAAAGGAAAGGGGGAAAAAGCCUUAUCUUCUUAGGGUUUUAGUUUCUUUAACCAGAGAACAGAAGGGGAAAUUCUUGACUCAUUUGGCUGUGAAGACAAAUGAAGCGAUUUAUGUGUGUUAUGUGCGCGGUAGGAUCUUCCCUGCACAGGGGAUAUGAAUAGGAUUCUUUCAUAAUGAAUCCUUUCUAAGCAGCUCUGAGUUCAGCCUCAGAGUAUAUAUUUUGCCGGAUUUGAAUUUUUUUCACUAAGAUUAACAACCUCAGAACAGAAAGUCUGAUUCAAUGAUCCCGUUUGUAUUUUAAAAACAAGUUUUGUGUUAAUUCUUCUACUUUAUUGUAUUCUUAAGGUGUUUGUUGUUGUUGUUGGUUGGUUGGGGGUUUGUUUUUGAUUUUUUAACAUGUCUGCACAUGCAUCUGUACACAUGCAUGAAAGUGUCCAUGGAGACCAGAAUAGGAUGUUGGAUCCCCUGGACCAGAGUUAUGGGUGGAAUUCAGGUUCUGGGAACCAAACUCGGGUCCUUGCAAAAGCAAGACAGGGUCUUAAUCACUGAGCAAUCUCUUCAACGUUUAAUGAAAAUUUCUUAACAUCUGUUGUAGUUUAUAUUUUAAAACUUGGACUAGAAAGAUAGCACAGAGAUUAAUAGCACUUGCUACUCUUACAGGGGACCCAAGUUCAGUUCCCAGCACCCACAUCUGGCACCUCACAAUCACAUUAAAUCCGGCUCUCAAAGUUCCAACACCCUCUUCUGGCUUCCAUGAGCAUUGCAGCCACGUGCACUAUCACCACCCUCCAUAUAUAAACAGAAUUUAAAAAAAUGAAAUGAAUGAAAAUGGGCUAUGGGAUGUCAAAUUUCCAAACAGAUCAUUAUUAUAAAGAAUAUAUAAAAUAUAUGAUAUUUACAUGUAUGUUAAUUUGAAAAUUGCCAUAUUGAUUAUUAGUCUGAACGUUGUUUUAGAAAGCAUCUUUUUUAAAUGAAGACAAUGCUAUUUAUCUUAACGUAGCCCCAGAUGAGCUGGUUGGUGCAAGCACUUACGACUAAGAUAAAUAAGUCUGAUUCCAUUCCAAUCCUCCAACAAGGAUUCUCCUGGCCACUCUCCCUCCUUACAGCCCAGCCGUGUCUAUCAAAGUAACCUACAGGCAGCAGUAUUCAAAAGUUCUCUCUUUUGAUGUUUUAAAGAGGAAACAUAAGUUUUUUUAAAAAACACAAUUUUCUAUCAUUUUUUUCACAAAAAGAAUUUUCUGAAAUAGGUCCCAGUUUUGCUCUCCUUUGGACAGUCAUGAUCUUUCUCAUUUCUAACCUUCAAAAACUCUGUCUUGACUCUGGUUCUGAACUGUGGCUCAGUGAGACAAGCGGUUUGUUCUGGGACCUCCUGCCUCAGCCCUGGUAGGAGGCCUUGCAUUUAUUUCACAUUUUCCCACAUCUGUUUGGCACGGGAGGACCAAUAAAAGCUUGCUCUACAUUUCAUUACAUUUCUUGGUACAACCACCCACUUGGAUCUGGCAAAGCACACACUAUUAAAAAUUCCGCCACAGUGUGGGCUUUCCCACACAUCUGGAGUAAAUAUAACUUAAAGAAGUAAACACUUGGGCUUGAGAGAUGGCCCAGCGGUUAAAAGCACUUGCUGCUCUCCCAGAGGAUGUAGCUUCCCAGAUUCCAUGGGCAAUUCACGACUGUCUGGAACAGUAACCCCAUUGCACCUGGCACAACCUCCCCCCCCAGGACACAGAUGCUCACAGACACAAGUGCACACCCACAAUAAUAAAAUCUUCAAAAAGCUGUAAACACCAAUUGUAUUUCUAUUUGAAAAGAAAAGAGAAGGCAGCAUAUAGCUGUCAGUUUCUAUUUCAGAUUGCUCCAACUACGUCCAUAUACAGCUAAAGUCCUUUCUGUGCUUAGAGGAACUAUUUCCCAUGAAAGAAAACAGCAAAUUUCUUUUGGCUGCUCCAUAAAUGCAGUAAGAAUGAUGGCUUGCUGGGCUGAAGAGAUAGAUGGCUCAGCAGUUAAGAGCACUUGAUGGGUUCAGUUCCCAGAAUCCAAAGGGCACCUCACAACCAUCUAUAACUCCAGUUCCAGGGGAUCCGAUGGCCUCCUCUGACCUCCAUGGGCACCAGGCAUGCAUGUGAUACACAUACAUCGAUAUAGGGAGAGCACUCAUAUGCAUUAAAUUAAAGGUUGGUGUUUGCUGCUGCUGCUGUUGUUUUUAAGAAUGAUGGCUUGAGACAUCUAAUAUGUAUGCAAAAUAAAAAUGAGAGUAUUGGAAAUUCCAGCAUCAUAGGCUGUAAGAACAAACGUGCAUGGUAAAAUGCAAAGAGAAAUUAAUGUAACUAAUUUCCAUGCAACUUUAAAUGCAUCAAUUCUUUGGUUAGAUUCUGUUGUGGUUGCUUUGACUUGUGAGGAGCUGUGUUAUGGACAAGACAGAGCAUGGGAGAUGGGUGGCCAUUGCACUUCCUCCCAUGGAGUAGGAAUGGUGUGAGGCACCAGGAGGAGGGUGUGAGAGAGUCUGCUGCUGCUGCUGCUGCUUUGUUCCCUGAAGCUCGUUAUCAUGAGUUCCCUGUGCUGCCACAUUGCUAUGUCACAUGGAUGUCUUCAAGUGGGCAGUUGUAGCUGAUCCUGGUCUUUAUUGCCACCAUGUCAAGUCAUAGGUGAACACAGAGUAGUCCAUGCAGUCAGUGACACAUUCAGAGCUCACUCAGCCCGACGGUGGUAACCUUAAUCGCUUCUGAUACAAUCACAUAACUAAUAAGAACAAGUUGCUCUAUAUUUUGGGACUCUGACUCCAUGAAUCUCAAUGAGAAGUUAGCAACUCCUCACACUUCGUCUCAAGAUAAAACAUAAGAUAUAUGUCAGCGGCUAAAUUCACCCACUUAAAAGCCACAAGUUAGUUGUUGGGGUGUAUUCACAGAAGUUUCCAAAUUUUUUUAAUCAAUAUUCAACCUUGAGACCAUUUUGUUAAAAACAAACCAACAAACCAACAACAAUGCCCACCAUGUUAAGGGAUAGUCACUCAUAGUUUUCUCAAGCCCUAGUCUUAAAGCCAUCAUUAACACGCUGUCUCCAUAGGUUUGCCCACACCACACAUAUCUGAAGGGAAUUGUGAUAACUGGUCCUUUGAGAAUGGCUUCUUUCACUUAGUCAAAUGCUCUUUCCUGCUGCAGCAUUCGCCUGUGCUUUCUGAGUUCAGCAAUUUCUUUUUUCUCACACAGAUAGGAAGUAAAUAUUUUAUAUUAUGGGCUGUUUAGUCCCUCCGGCAGUUACAGUACUUAACAGGUCUGGUGCUAAUGCAGCCACAGACAGUACGGAGAAAGACGGCAGAAGCCAUAUUAAAACAAACAGACAAAACCUACACUUAUUUACAGAAUAAUGGGGAGAGGUAGCUAUGAUUCACAGCUCAGUUUGCUGACCCUGAUUUAUGCAUCUGAGGAGAGCCUGUUUUUUUAAUUUUUUUUUUAGAAAAGAACUUCAAGUCUUAAAUAAACUAUUGACCAUAUUUCUUUAUAAUUCAAAAUUUAAGCCAAAGCUGAAGGUUUUAUUAAAUUUCAAGAGUCAGCAGAGUAGGUAUAAAUCAAUGUAGAAUGUAGCAAAAAAUGUGCACCAGGGAACGUUAUUUCAGAGAUUCCUUUGAUCGGCUGAGCCACAAAUCUCAAGACUUAUUACACAUAAAAAUCAGCUAAAAUGGUGGGGAUCUAUCUCCUGCUGGGCUCCUUCUGCCAGAAUGUUUUUGUCAGGGGUUGUUCUCCCGCGGCUUUGGAAGUUUUAGAGAUGUUCUCUAGGACAAUUCCUUUGCAUGAAAGCAUUCUGUAGACUAUGUGUAGACCUAUCCUACUAAUGCCCCCAUCCAGAUGAGUCCUUUAUGAUCCCUACAACAUACAUACAUACAUACAUACAUACAUAUAUACAUACAUACACACAUCACAUACAUGCAGCAUAUAUAUACAUCACAUAUUAUACAUAUAUAUGGAAAAAUAUAUAGUGUAUAUUAUACACACACACACACACACACACACACGCACACGCACGCACACACAACUGAGUGAGGAAAGGUUUAUUUUGUCUCAGGGUCUGAGAGUACGACCAUGAAGGGAAGGCAUGGGAGCAGGAAGUGUGAGGAAGCUGAUUGUACCACAUCCACAGUCAGGAAGCUAAGCUGACUGCUGGGGCCAUGUUUGACUUUUCCUUUUAUUCGAACCAGGACUACAACCCAUUAGAACAGGGAGCUGCUCGUGCUCAGGGAGAGUCUUCCCUCUGCAGUUAAACACCUCUGGAAACAUCCUCACAAACACUUCCAGAGCUGUCUCCACAGGAUUCUAACGCCAGUCAUGCUGACGCACAGCCGUCCUCCUGGCUGAACCACUGAGGACUGGCCUUUGGACCUCUCUGCACCCAUGUUGUGUACUGUGUGGGAACAGAACACUCUGACCGUGCUCUGAGUCUGUGGUCACUGUCGGUGGCUGAGAGCUUCCGGAACAAGAAGAGCUUCUUUCUCACAUGGGAGUUAUUAGCAUCAGAGAGGGUCAAAACCUUAAUUAUCUCUUUACUGCUGAAAGAUCUCUCUAUAAUAGCCUCACAGGAGGGGAGCCAAAGCACAUCAUUUUGAUCUGCGAUGCUUUAUUAAUUCUUUCUUGCUACCUGGGUUAACUUGCUCUACUAAGUUUCAAGUGGCUUGAGGAUGGGAAAUAAUUUCCUUUGUACUCUCACCACCAUUGGUUAACACAUAAUUGUGUUUAGUGUGCUUUUGAAACUGCAUAAUCAUCUUAAGUUUUCCAUUUCACGUAUACAUACGAUGUCUUUUGACCAAGAAAGUCUUUAGCUAUUCAAUAAUACUAUUAACAUAAUAUGAACUAUUAUCACUGGCUUUUAGGUAUACAAAUUGUUUCAUUAGUUUAAUUUUGUGAAUCAGCCAACUAUAACACAAUGCUUUUGAACAUAUUAUUGAUUAGAAUAGGUAAUGUGUACCUCUCGUUCUUGUCCCACUGCUUUAAAUAGAACAAAAUAAUAUGUCCUAGUGAACAUUCAGAUUUCUUUCCACUGUGUACCACGGCUCUGGGGUUCUCAUUCCUGCACCCACAGGUAUAGGCCAGUCGCCCCUGCUUAUUGAAAGAUCUGUUCUGCCUUUUAAAAACAAAAAUCAUACAAUCUAACAAAUAUCCCAACAUCUUAAGCAUGUUUUCGUCAGGGGAGUCCAUGAGUCUCCCAAAACAACACAAGCUACUGCUGCUAACCUUGUUUGCCUCCCAGAAGAUGAAGGUGAUCUCCAUUGCCAAAGACACCAUUCAUGUCUAACACUGGACUUGACUCAGAGGAUCCAAGCUGGAUCCGAUCUGAAAGCUUCUUUCUGUGGGGACCAGAUUUCUUGGUACUGGACAGUGCCAUACAAACUGCUAUGGAAGUGAAGUAACCAAUAGUCCUACCUGGCUGUGAUGCCUAUGAGCCACAACAGCAAGCAUUGCAAGAUAAGCCCUAAGUGAAGGCAUAACGGUGGCACACACAUAUAUGUGUUAACCACUGCAGUGGUUUGAAUAGGAAUGGCCCCCAGAAACUCAUGUAUUUAGACGCUUAGUCAUAAGGGAUUAGCACUACUGGAUAGGAAUUAGGAGGUGUGGCCUCGUUGUAAUAGGUGUGUCACUGGGGGUGGGCUUUGAGGUUUCAGAAGUUCAAACCAGGCCCAGUGGCUCUCUCUCUCUCUCUCUCUCUCUCUCUCUCUCCUGCCUGCUGAUGCAGAUGUAGAACUCUUGGCCCCUUGUCUAGCAGCAUCUCUGCUGACAUGAGUGCUUUCCAUGCUCCUCACCAUGACAAUAAUGGACUAACCCUCUGAACCUGUCAGCCAACCCCAAUUAAAUGUUUGCCUUUGUAAGAGUUGCCAUGGUCAUGGUGUCUCUUCACAGCCAUAGAACAUUGACUAAAACACCAGCAAUGCUGACUUUGACAGGGAAGAACUACGAGACUUGGAUUCCAGGAAGGAGCAGCCAUCAAGGAAGUGGGCUCUAAGCCUUGCUGAACUGUGCUGCCACAGGACCGUGAGAUUCUAUAUGAAAACCUGGGUGAGUCUAGUGACCCUUUUAGUCAUUUUAAUCCCAGGUAUAGGGAUGUGGGGCUGCUUUGGACUGUCAGCAGCGACUGACCAUAAUUUGCCUCAUGCUCUAGCAGAGGCAUGGUUUUGCCAGCUGCAGAUAAUUUCUGUGAUUGGGUGAUGUUUGGAAUGCUGGGAACUUUUCAUAGUAUGUAGGUGCUUAGGGACCCAAGAGAAAGUUGGCAGUCAUGCAGGGGUGUUGGUGCUGGUUUGUUAGUAAUCGUGCUCAAAGAAGAAACAAACGAACAAAAAAGGAAAGUAGAUACAGUGAUCUGUCUCUGUCUCUGUCUCUGUCUGUCUGUCUGUCUGUCUCUCUCUCUCUCUCUCUCUCUCACACACACACACACACACACACACACACACACACACACACCUUUCUCUCCUAUCUAGUGAUAGGGGUUGAAUCUGGGGAGAUGAAGGAUAAGAAUCACUACAGAUGAAGGAUGAGAAAAAUAAGAAGCCACAACGUAGCAAAGAUUGGCUAUCGUUGAGCCUAACUAUUCUGUGACUUCUUACAGGAAUGAGUAUAAUAAAUUGGCAUGGUUUAAAACUCAACUGUGGUAAUUUACUACUACAGCAAUAAUAAAUGAUACAGUUAACUUCACAGAAGCAGCUGGCUUGCCUGGCUCCCGACCCAUAUACGCAUGAUCCAGCUCACAUGUAGACACCUGGUCUGACACAGUGUGAGUGGGGUUUUCAGAGCUUAUGUCAUUAUCACACUGGGAUCAGGAAUCAAAGCAUCAUAAUUAAAGAUAGUAGACUGGUCCACAUUGAUAGAAAGGCCAUAAUCUAAAUGAGGACUUGUGAGAUUCACCAAGCCUGUACAGGAGGAAGUUGCCCCUAAUCCUCUUAGACAGGGUUUCUGCAGCCACAAGUUUCUUUUUUUUAAUUGGAUAGUUUGUGUAUUUACAUUUCAAAUGUUAAAUGUAACAUGUAAUGUUAAAUGCUAUGUAAUUAAAUGUAAUGUUAAUGUUAAAUGUAAUCUCCCUUCUAUGAGUGUGCUCCCCCUCCUACCUACCCACUCCUACCUCAACACCCUGCCAUUCUCCUACACUGGUACUUCAAGCCUUCACAGGACCAAGGGCUUCUCCUCCUAUGGAUGCCAGACAAUGCCAUCCUCUGCUACAUAUGCAGCUGGAGACAUGGGUCCCCCAUGUGUCCUCUUUGGUGGUGGCUUUGUCACAAGUCCCUCAGGCAAGAACUGCUAACUGACAAGCACAGCCUGGCACCUGGGCAGAGAGUAUAUUAAUGUAUACUAUGUUACUGUAUACUACAUUAAUGUAUACUAUGUUACCAUAUACUACAUUAACAUAUCUAUGUUACCAUAUACUACAUUAAUGUAUACUAUGUUACCGAAUACUACAUUAAUGUAUACUAUGUUACCAUAUACUACAUUAACAUAUAUUAUGUUACUGUAUACUACAUUAACAUAUACUAUGUUACCAUAUACUACAUUAAUGUAUACUAUGUUACUGUAUACUACAUUAAUGUAUACUAUGUUACUGUAUACUACAUUAACGUAUACUAUGUAACUGUAUACUACAUUAACGUAUACUAUGUUCCAUAUACUGCCACUGGAAUGGACAGGACUACUUGAAUUGAAGCAGAGCAUUCUCCAGUUGGUUCCUAUUCUCUACUUCUGAAGAACAAACCUCCACUUUUUCGGAGCCCUCAUUGUUGGGGAGUAAAAUCAUCAUGACAUAGAAAAGUGUUUGCUCCACAACCACAACGGCCUGCCUGGGCUCUGAUCCCCUGCAACAGAGAAGCCACCCAAAACAUUAGAGUCUGCCUCUACCCCACUUUACCCAUGCAGUCCAGCACAACGUUUAAAAUGCCAUUCAUAUCCCUGCUCUGACUUGGUCCCAGAGUUCCUUUUCUUUUUCUUUUUUCUUUUUUUCGGAGCUGGGAACCGAACCCAGGGCCUUGGGCUUGGUAGGCAAGCGCUCUACCACUGAGCUAAAUCCCCAACCCCCCAGAGUUCCUUUCCAUUGUACCUUUCUACAGAAACUGCAAGUCACAGUUCCGUCUUCGUGGCAUACACCAAUGAGCUUUAAAUUCUGACAAUUUUAGGAGGUAGCUCUAUGGAUAAAGCACUUGUCGCACAGGCAUGAGGAGCUGAUUUGUUUUUAGAUUCUACGUGAGUGAUGGCACUAAGCUGGACCUCACUUAUUUCUCUAAGCAUAGUGAUUUCCGGCUCCAUCUGUGCCUUUGCAAUGUCAGGAUGUAACACUUCUAUGACCGCUUAAUCUUCCAUUCAGUACACGGGCCAUCUUUUCCUUAUUCAUUCACUUAGUGAGCACUUAGGUUUUCUCCAGCACAGACUUGAUUAAAGUUGCAUAACGCUUCCUUUAAAGGAAGCAUCAGAAGUCAGACAGACAGGCAAGUGCCCUGAAGAGGGUGAGUGUAAUUUUCACUCAGGAUCCUCUAUGACUGGUCUCAAGUAUCUAUGUGAAGGAGGUUUCAGCUUCUGUAAGACUUACUAUUGAGGAAGUAGAAAGAAAUUAAGUCACAGCUCCCUACUCCCAAACCCUGUGGGAGAGAGAGCUGAUCGCCUAGACGUGUGGGUAAUCCUGAGACUGCAAGGCAGGAGAGACCACCACUUUUGCCCACAUUUGCCCACAUCCUUGGCACAAGAGGAAACUGUAUAGGGCCUCUGGGCACAGGAUGAUAGGAGCAGUCAAGCUGCAAGAGCCCUGAGGUCCAGACUGCACCUGGAACUGAACGGACCCAGUCAAAUAGCUCCCUGCACCCAAAUCCCAUGGGAGGGAGAGCUAGACCUUCAGAGGGGCAAACAUGCCUGGGAAACCAGAGGAGACUACUCUCUGUCCAGAUUUCUGAUUCUAGAAGAAAAUGCCUAGCACCAUCUGAGCCCCCUGUGCACAGGGACCCAGGAGAAGGAGGGGCAGACCCUUCUGGUUACUGCCCACGGAAACAGCAGAAAGUCAGUGGACAGGAACUACUACACGCCUGAGAGCAGAACACUUUGUUCCCAUAACUGGCUGAAAGAAAACAGGAAAACAGAUCUACAGCACUCCUGACACACAGGCCUAUAGGAAGGUCAAGCACUGUCAGAAAUAGCAAAACCAGGUAACACCAGAGACAACCUGAUGGCGAGAGGCAAGCGCAGGAACCCAAGUAAGAGAAACCAAGACUAUAUGGCAACAUCAGAGCCCAAUUCUCCCACCAAAGCAAACACUGAAUAUCCAAACACACCAGAAAAGCAAGAUCUACAUUGAAAAUUACAUUUGAUCAUGAUGAUGGAAGACUUUAAGAAAGACAUGAAGAACUCUCUUAGAGAAAUGCAGGAAAACACAAGUAAACAAGCAGAAGCCCUUACAGAGGAAACACAAAAAUCCCUGAAAGAAUUACAGGAAAACAGAGGUGAAGGAAUUGAAAAUGGAAAUAGAAACAAUAAAGAAAGCACAAAGGGAGACAACCCUGGAAACCAAUUACAGAAAACCAAAGGAAGAGACAAGGAGCUGUAGAUACAAGAAUCACAAACAGAAUACAAGACAUAGAAGAGAGAAUCUCAGGAGCAGAAGAUUCCAUAGAAAUCAUCGACUCAACUGUCAAAGAUAAUGUUAAACGGAAAAAGAUACUAGCCCAAAACAUACAGGAAAUCCAGGACUCAAUGAGAAGAUCAAACCUAAGGACAAUAGAUACAGAAGAGAGUGAAGACUCCCAACUCAAAGGACCAAUAAAUAUCUUCAACAAAAUCAUAGAGGAAAACUUCCCUACCUAAAGAAAGAGAUGCCAAUAAACAUACAAGAAGCCUACAGAACUCCAAAUAGACUGGACUAGAAAAGACACUCCUCCCGUCACAUAAUAGUCAAAACACCAAAUGCACAAAACAAAGAUAAAAUAUUAAAAGCAGUAAGGGAAAAAGGUCAAAUAACAUAUAAAGGCAGACCUAUCAGAAUUAUACCAAACUUCUCACCAGAGACUAUGAAAGGCAGAAGAUCCUGGACAGAUAUCAUAUAGAACACAAAUGGCAGCCCAAGUAUCCAGCAAAACUCUCAAUUAACAUAGAUGGAGAAACCAAGAUAUUCCAUGACAAAACCAAAUUUACACAAUAUCUUUCUACAAAUCCACCCUAUAAAGGAUAAUAAAUGGUAACGCACAACACAAGGAGGCAAGCUACAUCCUAGAAAAAGCAAGAAACUAAUCGUUUUGCAAAAAAAACAAAGAGAAGACAAGCACACAAACAUAAUCUCACCUCCAAAUAUGAAGAUAAGACAGAGCAACAAUCACUAUUCCUUAAUAUCUCUCAACAUCAAUGGACUGAAUUCCCCAAUAAAAAGACAUAGAUUAACAAACUGGAUACACAAUGAGCACCCAGCAUUUUGCUGCCAACAGGAAACACACCUCAGAGACAAAGACAGACACUACCUCAGAAUAAAAGACUGAAAACAACUUUCCAAGCAAAUGGUCGGAAGAAGAAAGCUGGAGUAUCCAUUCUAAUUUCGAAUAAAAUCGAAUUUCAACUAAAAGUCAUCAAAAAGGAUAAAGAAGGACACUUCAUACUCAUCAAAGGAAAAAUCCACCAAGAUGAACUCUCAAUCCUAAAUAUCUAUGCUCCAAAUACAAGGGCACCUACAUACAUAAAAGAAACCUUACUAAAGCUCAAAGCACACAUUGCACCUCACACAAUAAUAGUAGGAGAUUUCAACACCCCACUCUCAUCAAUGGACAGAUCAUGGAAACAGAAAUUAAACAGAGACAUAGACAGACUAAGAGAAGUCAUGAACCAAAUGGACUUAACAGGUAUUUAUUGAACAUUCUAUCCUUAAACAAAAGGAUAUACCUUCUUCUUACCACCUCAUGGUAUUUUCUCCAAAAUUGACCAUAUAAUCAGUCAUAAAACAGGCCUCAACAGAUUCAGAAAGAUAGAAAUAAUCCCAUGCGUCCUAUCAGAACACCACGGGCUAAAACUGGUCUUCAAUAACAAUAAGGAAAGAAUGCCCACAUAUACAUGGAAGUUGAACAAUGCUCUACUCAAUGAUAACCUGGUCAGGAAGAAAUAAAGAAAGAAUUAAAGACUUCUCAACAUAGCCAAACUUAUGGGACACAAUGAAAGCUGUGCUAAGAGGAAAAUUCAUAGCGCUGAGUGCCUGCAGAAAGAAACAGGAGAGAGCAUAUGUCAGCAGCUUGACAGCACAUCUAAAAGCUCUAGAACAAAAAGAAGCAAAUACACCCAGGAGGAGUAGAAGGCAGGAAAUAAUCAAACUCAGAGCUGAAAUCAACCAAGUAGAAACAAAAAGGACCAUAGAAAGAAUCAACAGAACCAAAAGUUGGUUCUUUGAGAAAAUCAACAAGAUAGAUAAACCCUUAGCCAGACUAACGAGAGGACACAGAGAGUGUGUCCAAAUUUACAAAAUAAGAAAUGAAAAGGGAGACAUAACAGCAGAAUAAGAGGAAAUUCAAAAAAUCAUCAGAGCCUACUACAAAAGCCUAUAUUCACCAAAACUUGAAAAAUCUGGAGGAAAUGGCAAAUUUCCUAGACAGAUACCAGCUACCAA